UACGUAGGGUGCAAGCGUUAAUCGGAAUUACUGGGCGUAAAGCGUGCGCAGGCGGUUGUGCAAGACAGAUGUGAAAUCCCCGGGCUUAACCUGGGAACUGCAUUUGUGACUGCACGGCUAGAGUGUGGCAGAGGGGGGUAGAAUUCCACGUGUAGCAGUGAAAUGCGUAGAUAUGUGGAGGAAUACCGAUGGCGAAGGCAGCCCCCUGGGAUAACACUGACGCUCAUGCCCGAAAGCGUGGGGAGCAAACAGG
rnacentral:rRNA from 1 species